rnacentral:antisense_RNA from 14 species
GGGUGCUUGAGGCUAUCUGCUUCAGGCUAUCUGCUUCAGGCAUGAACACCAAAAGGCAGAUAGAGAAAAGCCCCAGUUAACAUUACGCGUCCGGCAAGACGCUUAACAUUAAUCUGAGGCCAAUUUCAUGCUUUGCACAUGUAGGUUAGCCUCUUACAUGCCGAAAGGCAAGGAGAAGCAGGCUAUGAAG